rnacentral:rRNA from 1 species
GACGAACGCUGGCGGCGUGCUUAACACAUGCAAGUCGAGCGGUAAGGCCCUUCGGGUACACGAGCGGCGAACGGGUGAGUAACACGUGGGUGACCUGCCCUUAGCUCUGGGAUAAGCCUGGGAAACUGGGUCUAAUACCGGAUAUGACCUCAUGACGCAUGUUGUGGGGUGGAAAGCCUUGUGCGGCUAGGGAUGGGCCCGCGGCCUAUCAGCUUGUUGGUGGGGUGAUGGCCACCAAGGCGACGACGGGUAGCCGGCCUGAGAGGGCGACCGGCCACACUGGGACUGAGACACGGCCCAGACUCCUACGGGAGGCAGCAGUGGGGAAUUGUUCGCAAUGGGCGCAAGCCUGACGACGCAACGCCGCGUGGAGGAUGAAGAUCUUCGGGUCGUAAACUCCUUUCGAUCGAGACGAACGGCUCCUGGGCGAAUAUCCCGGGAGAUUGACGGUACCGAGAGAAGAAGCCCCGGCUAACUCCGUGCCAGCAGCCGCCGUAAU